CCCGGUGGUCAUAGGAGAGGGGAAACACCCGUUCCCAUGCCGAACACGGCAGUUAAGCCCUCUUCCGCCGAUGGUACUUCAUGGGUGACUAUGUGGGAGAGUAGGUCACUGCCGGGA
rnacentral:rRNA from 1 species